GACGAACGCUGGCGGCGUGCCUAAUACAUGCAAGUCGAACGCAGUGGGGACUGGUGAGUAACCCGUGGGUAACCUCCCAUCAGAGGGGAUAACACUUGGAAACAGGUGCUAAACCGAUACUGAUGGAUGGACGCGCGGUGCAUUAGCUAGUUGGUGAGGUAACGGCGCACCAAGGCGACGAUGCAUAGCCGGCCUGAGAGGAUGAUCGGCCACACUGGGACUGAGACACGGCCCAGACUCCUACGGGAGGCAGCAGUGGGGAAUCUUGGGCAAUGGACGAAAGUCUGACCCAGCAACGCCGCGUGUGUGAAGAAGGUUUUCGGAUCGUAAAGCACUGUUGGUAGGGAAGCGGUAUCUACCCAGAAAGCAACGGCUAACUACGUGCCAGCAGCCGCGGUAAUUC
rnacentral:rRNA from 1 species